AGAUGUACUCUUCAGACUGUAAAGGAGCUU
rnacentral:piRNA from 1 species